GCCACGAAAGGUGGUCUAAUACUUCAUAAUAUCCAUCUCGUAUGGAUUAAAGCUUUAUGCGCUUUGGGAGGGGCCUGCGUAACAUUAGCUUGUUGGUGAGGUAAAAGCUCACCAAGGCUUCGAUGUUUAACUGGUUUGAGAGGAUGACCAGUCACACUGGGACUGAGAUACGGCCCAGACUCCUACGGGAGGCAGCAGUAAGGAAUCUUCCACAAUGGGGCAACCCUGAUGGAGCAAUACCGCGUGCAGGAUGAAGCGUUUCGGCGUGUAAACUGCUUUUAUCACCGAAGAUUAUGACUGUAGGUGAAGAAUAAGGACCGGCUAACUACGUG
rnacentral:rRNA from 1 species